UCUAUCACAUCUGGUGUAGCCAGUUGCACUGAUCACAGUAGAAGGUAAUUGAUGUAGCCUCCCUGUCAGUCUCACACGCAUGCAUUGUAUUGCCAUAAGCAAAACUGUAUACUGUAGCACCAGUGCUACGUUGGUAAAUCAUCCAUCGCACAAACUAUUUUUUUUGUAGCAUGUGUGACAUAUAUGUCGCACUGUACAGCCCUGCAUUGGACUCACACGCAAGCCGGUUGGUCGACAUUGAGAACACUGCUGUUUUCUGAGAAGAUUCUGUACGGGACCUGCAGACUACUGUCACUACCCUGACCGACAGCCUGCGGUUGGACUAGGAGGCAGUCCAACUUUUCAAGAUUGACCAUGAAGAUGACUGAGGAAGACAGCCU